AGCCUAUUUUCCACCUUUUUUUAAAGGAGGUGAAAUAAGUCGUUCGGGGCCAUUCCGCGCGGGGACUGGCUGCCCGCUGGCGUCGCGUGCCCUCGGGGACAGUGAGCGCCUACGCGAGUUAACUACGGGAAAUCUCAAAGUCAGGUCAGCCAGGUUCAGCCCUCCCGCUCCCGACUCUGGCCGGAGUUUGGCCUUUGAGAUUCAUAUUCCUCUCUGUGUGUGUGUGUCUCUCUCUCGCACACACAAACCCUCGCUCACCCAUUCCCUUAUGAAAUCUGACCCCUGUUUAUCAGGGUCCAGCGCGCCCUUUGCACUUCUACGUUUCACUUAAUUAUUUCGGACUUGAUCGUCGCAGGGGACAAGAGGAAAAACAAUACCCCAGCCCUCACCAGCUCCCUUCGAAGGGUUAAAUUUUAAACCGCUGUUUCUCGGACAAGCCCGGAAACUCAGAGUGGGGGUAGGUCGGUUGGGACCGCUCCCCCCCCCCCUUUACAAAUGCUAAUAACUAGUUCAGUUUUCUAGAUCGACUCUUGUAAAGCUUAUGCAAAAAAGAAAAAAAGAAAGAAAAAGAAAGGAACCAACAACUCUGUUUCUAAGAUUUUAAAGCGAUAGGCAAGUCGGAGAAGCCGAGAUUUAUUUGGGGGAAAGCAAUCGUGCGUGGAGCCGACCCAGCAUUUGGAAGACCAGUCCGUCUGCCUGGAAGUUGGGACUGUUGAUUCCUUCAAUUAAUGAAAUGCAUUUGGUGUUAAUCGUAUUUAUUCUAUUUUAUGGGAGGGGGAGACAUUAGGAGGGUGCAUUAAAAAAAAAAAAAAAAUCUGAAAAGCCUGCAAAAGGAUCGAAGAGUGAAAACUAUUGUUGGACAGAGUUGGUUUUUACCUCAACAGCGCCACCUUUCGGCAAAGCAAUUCGCAGUUGUAAGUUAAAGCCGCUCUCUCUUUGAAGACGCAUCUUUUAUAAUUUUUAUUAGAGGAUUCUUCCUUAGGUCAUAACACACAUCAUUUAAUGCAGUAUUUGUUUUGCACAAGAGAUGUGAAAGACCUAAAUGUUUUCUUGAAUGAGGAUGCACGGGAAGGUGUGUGAACGUUUCCUCCAGCUCUUCUCUCUCUCUUCAUCUGACAAUGACACGCAGCACGGCCUGGUGAACAGGAGGUGUUUAAUAAAUAGUUUUGUGUACACAUGAAUGUUGGAGCGAAAGGACUUUUGGUUUUAGGUAAUAGACACAGGUGGGCCCACAUGGUUUACUGCAGCUCUCUGAGGGUUCAAGUCCCAGACUGAACCCAGAUGCCCAGGUGUGAGCCUCUUAUCAUAAGAUCAUCAACUUUCCUGUUGUUUCCUGAUGCCAAUUUUGAAGCCAGGAGGCUCAGAGGUAUUUACUUGAACAGAAGAGUUGAGAGCUUCCGGUGUCCACCUUUGAGCUGCAACUAGCAGCCCCCACCCCCACUCCCAGUCUCUCUCGAAGGGACCUAAAUGUGCCAGCUUCUGCAGAAUCUCCUGUUUGAGGAUCCCACCUCUCCCCCUUUCAGAGAAACCUGGGAAUGAGAGCAGUUGCCAGCCCAUGAGUUAUUUAUGACCUGCCUAAGAGAGCUUGGCUCUGGCUGUUUCAGCAGACCCAGCCCCUGGAUCACCAAGGCUCAAGGAGGAAUGACAGGGACCCAUUCAGGAAGCAUCACUGACUGUUGACUCUGGGCUCAGAGAAAAGCUGCUGAUCAGGGACAAGGCUCAGGUGCUGUUGUAGUAAUGCGGUUUCUGGCAGAUUGGGAUGGGGGCACAGUGCCUGAGGUCAGCACCCAGGUCUCCUGCUAAUCCACCCUGUGACCUCAGCAGAGUUCUUCACCAAUUCCUUCCAACUCAUUUUUCAGGCUGCAAACGGACUGAAUACAGGGGAGGUAAACAGGACCAGCCACCUAUAGACACAGAUGAAAGUUAAUGUGCUAGGUUGUUGUGGAGCAUUGAUGGGUCAUAAUGACAAAAUCAAAAUAACUUUCUAAAAUGAAUUUAUUUUUUAAUUGAUACAUAAUAAUUAUACAUGUGAUAUAUCAAUACAUGUACAAAAUAUGUAAUGAUCAAAUCAGAGUGAUUGGUAUAUUGAUCACCUCAAACAAUGAUCAUUUCUUUGUGUUGGGAGUAUUCCAGAUCUUCUAUUCUAACUAUUUUGGAAUAUGCAAUAAAUUACUGUAACUGUAGUUACCCUACUCUGCUGUUGAACACUGGGACUUAAUACUUCUAGCUAAAGUCAAGAUAUCUUUGAGGUCAAAUGACAGAGCCCACAAAGCAGGGUCAGGAUGGCGGGGCCAAACCCUCCUGCAUCUCCAGUCUAGCGGCUGCUGCUGUUUUAGAUGGGUAUUGUUUAGAGCCUUUAGCUGCAGCACAGUGAGGAGUAAAGCAGGGAUUUCUGAGCAUCACCCAGCAGAGAGACAGACCCCCAAGGUGCUUUGCUUUGGCACCAGGCCAACAAGGCACAAAUCCUGCUCCAUCCCAGGUGUGAGACCUGGGUCAAGUCAGCUGACCUCUCUGGGCCUUAGUCUUUCCCUCGUCCAAAGGUGGAGAGUGUUCUUGUGCUCAUGUGAGCUGUACAGCGCAUGCUGGAUACAGGGCCUGCGCCGUGGCAUGUGAUCAAAAGGGCAUGGUCUGUUAGCAUGUGCCAGGGACUGUGCUGACAUUCUAGUCACAAUAUGGGGCCUAGAGCAUGCUAAGGACUCAGAAAAUAUUCUCCUCUCUUCUGUCUUUUUUGCUUCUGCUUUAAAGGUCCACUUAGCCCUGAACCUGGCCUCUUUCUUUUCCUCUCUCCUGAGGCUUUUCACAAUUUUGCUCACCUGGAAUGCCACCCUUGCCCCACCUGCCCUGUGCUCUGCCCUAUUUUCUGGAUAAUUUAGGCUUGUCUUCAUGUAUUGGGUUUCCUCUUAAAAGCCUUCCCUCUGUCUUCUUGCGUACUGGCCCCCCAGCCACCCAACUGUGAGCCUCUUGAAGCCAGGGAUGACACCUCUCAUCUCUCCACCUUUUUUGCGUACUACAGUGCCUGGCAUACAGCAGGUGCUCAAU